CAGCACCUCAAGGGGUCAGGAUGAUUAUUGGGCCUAAAGCAUCCGUAGCCGGCCCUGUAAGUUUUCGGUUAAAUCUGUACGCUCAACGUACAGGCUGCCGGGAAUACUGCAGCGCUAGGGAGUGGGAGAGGUAGACGGUACUCGGUAGGAAGGGGUAAAAUCCUUUGAUCUAUUGAUGACCACCUGUGGCGAAGGCGGUCUACCAGAACACGUCCGACGGUGAGGGAUGAAAGCUGGGGGAGCAAACCGGAUUAGAUACCCGAGUAGUCC
rnacentral:rRNA from 1 species